UUGCCACAAAUCUGAGAAGCAAACCGAGAUCAACCCUCCCUAGGGCAAUUCGGAGGCGAUUCUACUGUGCACCGAGCUUCAGAUGGUAAUUUUUUCCUAUUUCGUCUUCGUUCUUUUGCUUGGAUCUAAUCCUCUAAGCCCAAAUUUCGCGAGUUUCACCUUCACAGGCAAAAUAACCCAGGUACGUGUGUGUGUGUAUAUAUAUCUGUGUGUGUGUGUGUGUGUGGUUCAUCUCUGUUCUUCUCUGAACUCUCGUCUUUCUUCUCCUCUCUUCCUUUUCUGAGCUCUAACACAGGUUCCCCUCUAGCGCAAAUUGAUCUUUUGAUCAAAUUCACUACCCGAUCCCUAAUAAAAAAACAAAAAAAUUCACUAUCCUUCUUCCUCCUAAUCUCUCCUCAGUUUUCGCCUCUUUUUAUCUAAAAAACCCUAGAUUUAUCUUUGUUAGAUGUGCCCUCGUCUAACAAGUUUGGUGCAAAAUCGGCCGGUCUGUUAACCUGAGCCCAAGAGGCACCUAUUGGUCUCGUUAGGUCUGAGGCUUUUCAUCUGAAUCUGCCCGGGUAGUCAGCCAAACCCAUCAACACCACCUUGAACCAUCAACAUCAUCCACUUAGCUUACCUUGUUGAUCCGUGUUCAAAUGCUAUCUCGUGAGGCGAAAGGAUGGGAUUGGGGCUCAUAAACUAGAUUACCCUUGUUCAGACUCCCUAAGAUACGAAGAAGCGAAGUGUUUAAAAGUAUCACAGCCAUCACAGAACCUGUUAUUUUCUCCAUCAACAAUAGAUUGAAGCCCUUAAAUCUCUGUAUCCAAGCGAAGCUGACAAGCAUUUGUUGUCUCGGCAGACUGGUUUGUCCAAAUAUCAGGUGUACUGGACAGUGAGUACAACAAUGAGAAAAUCAUGGGUGAUAUGAUGCCAAGUCCUGAAAAAGGCCUUCCAAUUUGCCUUCAUCGACGCUAUAUAUAUGAUUGGUUUACAAGUUGAGGUUUAGGAAAUAGAUAUAUACCAUAUACUCCUUCAGUCCUUCUGUAAUUGCCAUAUAAACAAAUAUAUAUAUAUUAUUUUUCCUUCUGUAAUUUUUAUUGCAAUAACUUCAUAAUUUUUAUUGCAAUGUUUUAGUGUAGUAUAUUGUAAAUGUUCAACAAGAAAUUUGAAACUUUUAUUUCAGGAAACUGAUGGUAA